rnacentral:rRNA from 2 species
CUGUCGUCAGCUCGUGUUGUGAAAUGUUGGGUUAAGUCCCGCAACGAGCGCAACCCUUAUCCUUUGUUGCCAGCGGUUAGGCCGGGAACUCAAAGGAGACUGCCAGUGAUAAACUGGAGGAAGGUGGGGAUGACGUCAAGUCAUCAUGGCCCUUACGACCAGGGCUACACACGUGCUACAAUGGCGCAUACAAAGAGAAGCGACCUCGCGAGAGCAAGCGGACCUCAUAAAGUGCGUCGUAGUCCGGAUUGGAGUCUGCAACUCGACUCCAUGAAGUCGGAAUCGCUAGUAAUCGUGGAUCAGAAUGCCACGGUGAAUACGUUCCCGGGCCUUGUACACACCGCCCGUCACACCAUGGGAGUGGGUUGCAAAAGAAGUAGGUAGCUUAACCUUCGGGAGGGCGCUUACCACUUUGUGAUUCAUGACUGGGGUGAAGUCGUAACAAGGUAACCGUAGGGGAACCUGCGGUUGGA